AUGCAGUCGAACGCUUCUUUUUCCACCGGAGCUUGCUCCACCGGAAAAAGAGGAGUGGAACGGGUGAGUAACACGUGGGUAACCUGCCCAUCAGAAGGGGAUAACACUUGGAAACAGGUGCUAAUACCGUAUAACAAUCGAAACCGCAUGGUUUUGAUUUGAAAGGCGCUUUCGGGUGUCGCUGAUGGAUGGACCCGCGGUGCAUUAGCUAGUUGGUGAGGUAACGGCUCACCAAGGCGACGAUGCAUAGCCGACCUGAGAGGGUGAUCGGCCACAUUGGGACUGAGACACGGCCCAAACUCCUACGGGAGGCAGCAGUAGGGAAUCUUCGGCAAUGGACGAAAGUCUGACCGAGCAACGCCGCGUGAGUGAAGAAGGUUUUCGGAUCGUAAAACUCUGUUGUUAGAGAAGAACAAGGAUGAGAGUAACUGUUCAUCCCUUGACGGUAUCUAACCAGAAAGCCACGGCUAACUACGUGCCAGCAGCCGCGGUAAUACGUAGGUGGCAAGCGUUGUCCGGAUUUAUUGGGCGUAAAGCGAGCGCAGGCGGUUUCUUAAGUCUGAUGUGAAAGCCCCCGGCUCAACCGGGGAGGGUCAUUGGAAACUGGGAGACUUGAGUGCAGAAGAGGAGAGUGGAAUUCCAUGUGUAGCGGUGAAAUGCGUAGAUAUAUGGAGGAACACCAGUGGCGAAGCGGCUCUCUGGUCUGUAACUGACGCUGAGCUCAAAGCGUGGGGAGCAAACAGGAUUAGAUACCCUGGUAGUCCACGCCGUAAACGAUGAGUGCUAAGUGUUGGAGGGUUUCCGCCCUUCAGUGCUGCAGCUAACGCAUUAAGCACUCCGCCUGGGGAGUACGACCGCAAGGUUGAAACUCAAAGGAAUUGAGGGCCCGCACAAGCGGUGCAUGUGUUAAUUCGAAGCAACGCGAAGAAUACCGUCUGACUCCUUUGACCUCUAGAGAAAGCUCCCUCGGGGAAGGCGGGGGCAUUCAGCUCGAUAAUCCCCA
rnacentral:rRNA from 1 species